AACGAACGCUGGCGGCAUGCCUAACACAUGCAAGUCGAACGGGAUCCUGGCUUCGGCCAGGUGAGAGUGGCGGACGGGUGAGUAACGCGUGGGAACCUGCCCAUUGGUCUGGGAUAACUGCGGGAAACUGCAGCUAAUACCGGAUGUACCCGAGAGGGAAAGAUUUAUCGCCGAUGGAGGGGCCCGCGUCAGAUUAGGUAGUUGGUGAGGUAACGGCUCACCAAGCCUACGAUCUGUAGCUGGUCUGAGAGGAUGAUCAGCCACACUGAGACUGAGAUACGGCCCAGACUCCUACGGAGGCAGCAGUGAGGAAUAUUGGACAAUGGGGGCAACCCUGAUCCAGCAAUGCCGCGUGAGUGAUGAAGGCC
rnacentral:rRNA from 1 species